UACGAGGGGGGCAAGCGUUGUUCGGAAUUAUUGGGCGUAAAGGGCGCGUAGGCGGUGCGGUAAGUCACCUGUGAAAACUCUGGGCUCAACUCAGAGCCUGCAGGCGAAACUGCCGUGCUUGAGUGUGGGAGAGGUGCGUGGAAUUCCCGGUGUAGCAGUGAAAUGCGUAGAGAUCGGGAGGAACAUCAGUUGCGAAGGCGGCUCUCUGGACCAGCACUGACACUGAGGCACGAAAGCGUGGGGAGCAAACAGG
rnacentral:rRNA from 1 species